GAUGGGCUCUAGAUAGAAACCGUGUUUAUAAGUGCAUGUAUAAACACGUGUCUCUGAGACAUGAGCCUCUUGCUAUCUGAGCCAAUCCGCACUCAUAAGACUUGUAUCCAUAAGAGCAAGUAAGCCUCCAUGUUUGAGGGAAAAUGAAUGCAAAAUUGUGUGAACAUGCAACAGAGAGGAUAGUGUGCUCCCUUCCUGCCAAGGUAAAAAUAGAGCCUCGUCUGGACUCCAAAGCCAACAGCCCCACAGCUCCGGCCAGCUAAAUAAACCCUGACUGAGCACAAUGGACCAUUAGUCUGGCACACACACACACGCACACUCUUUCUCUUUCUCCCUCACACACAAGGGGAUUGCUUGUGCUCUGUAUCAGAGAUAUAUUCCCAGUCUGAGCUCUCCAUGGUGUGUGCUGACCUCAUCUUUGCAAAAAAUGUGAGCGACCUGUGACUCACGUAUUCGCCGCAGCCGCCCAGACGGAAAAGGAAAACAUAUGGCUGCAGAUUCAGAAAUCACACUAUGUCAACAGGUUACACUGACAAAAAAAAAACAUGGGAGGCAGGAUAAGGAAGCGGGAAACUAUAAUUGAGGGGAAGUAAAAGUAAGAGGAGUAAUCCACAUUCAGUUAAACAGGGUAUGUAAAUGUUUAAUGUGUCCUAAUUAGCCUGAGAAUUAGCUCUGUUCUGCAAUUUAAUUACUUUUAUUAUGUGGGAUUGUAAAAUAAAUUUUUAAACAGCAGCUUACAAACCUUUUUGUUAACCAAUAAACUUAAUCAAUCCUAACAGAGUCGUCUGUACUGAGUGGAAAUGCAUCCAGAGAUAAGAGCUGACCGAUUUUCUCUUUACCACUUCUGAUCAGUAAUAGGGAAUUCAAAUCCUGAAAAAUCACAUUCUUUCCUGGAAACUGAAUGCAUCAAAACUCACACCAGAUCUCACACUGGCUGCAGACCAGAAAACUUUCAGCUCGUCUUGCUCUGACUAUUGAUGUACCUGUGGCAAACUAAAAAAAAAAUCAGGUAUGGAAAAAGAAACGCCAGUCUCAGAACCUUAAUUUCUCAAGUUUCUGGAGAUUUUAUGUUUUUAACUUAAUUAGAAAGAGGUAAACUGACAUGAAACCAAGUUCAUCAGAUAAAAGGAAGGUGGACCUUUCAACCUGUGUCUGUUAUGAAUCAUCCUGGUUUGCAAAUGUUAGCAGAGUUAUGGUAGGAGUUUACAAUCUCAAGGGAAAACAUCUGCAGUACUCCACAUGCAAAAGAUGGUAAAAUUUCAGCUGUAAAUUAUUCUAUCUUUGUUUUAAAAUUUCAGUAAAAGUCUGGCUUCCUGGAAUCGCUGUCUGAAUUAGAGUGACGACACUGCUGGUUAUGAUAUAGCUACUUCAUAACAGCUUACUGCUGCAGGGCUGGAAAACAAUAUUUUGAAUGCUUUUAUUUAUCAAGAGUUUGCUAGAAUUGAUAUCAGAAGGACAGACUUUAAAAAAAUCAAGAUUGGAAAUAGUUCAGAAAACUCACAUCAGUGCUUCUCCAUUCCAGUCAGUCCGCUCAAACAAAACGCACAAAGUAACCGAGUUUAAUCACAUUUUCCACAUCCAACUGCUACGCUUUCAUUUAUAGUGAAUCAUACAAAAAAGUAGCGUCUCUCAUGGGUCUCUCAUAGAGAUCUUGGAUAAGAAAUGAACCGGAGAGAAAAGACAAAAAGUGGGGCAAAAGGAGGGAUGAGAAGACAGAGAAAAGAAUGAAAAAAGCUGCCACUGAAAUAGACAAACAUGACUCACUUUAGUAGUUUUCUUUCCGAGACAGAAUGGAUGACUAAUAUUUGAGAAAGGAGGACGCAAAACAUAACAAACCUGGGGAAUUUGCCUGGAAAUGUCAAGAAAAAAAUCAAAGAACAAAAAUGUGAGUUUAAGUGACAAACAGAAUUAUUUUUUUUUGAAUUGAUGUAAUUAAAUGCUGACUUCCUGGAAUAAAAGGUAGAAUCUGGUUAAAAGUCUCCCUGCUGUCUGAAUUUACCCCAGAAAACUGACGAACCAGACGACACACAAACACACACCCAUGAAAUCAGUAUUUUCUGCGAGAGGGGCUGCCUGGGCGGGGCAGAAUCAUCCUCACCCGAUGUUCUGCUUCACUACUGAGGCUGACUUCAUGGUAAAGAUGAAAUCACCACUGAUACAAAGGAGGCUGGAAAGGAAGAAGUUCUCCACGUACACGCGUCAGCGGGGCGUGACGGGAAUCUUCAAGCAGAUACCGACCGGACGCGAGUCUCAUCAGGACCGCAGGUCAAGGCCGCUUUUCCAUGAUGGCCUGACUGCUGGGUCAGCUGAGAGAGAGGGAGAAUCAAAGCUCUGGUGGCAAGAGUUUAGAUUUAUGGCCCAAACCAUAAAUCUGACCGAAAUUCAAGCAGGGUCUGAAGCAGUGCAGAUCGGACCAAUCACACAUCCCAAGAAGAGUUGCACCUGUGGUUACAAAAAGUGACAAAAUGGAGCUGUAAGAUGUUAAACAAAAGCUAAAAACGAGAGACGUCACACUGCUUAAAUACAUGGUGGUCUACAAAUAAAAGCAGUAAAACCAA